ensembl:lncRNA
UUUUUCUCUUUGAUUGGAUGAGCUCCUUCUAUUUUAUGCUUGUGUCUUCUUUUUAAUUUUUUUGAAUGUAUUUGGUUUUGAUUUGUGGUUGCCUUGUUUUUCAAGUAUGUUAACCUCUUCCUAUAUCUACAUGCUUUAGCCUGAUAGUCAUAUAGGCUCAAACACAUGCUAAAAAAUAAAAGUCUAGAUUUUCUUACUUUUCUUCCGCACAUUUUGUGAUUUUGAUGUUCUUUUUUUAACAUAUUCUUGUUUAACUUUUGCUUUUCCUUGUGUUUAGCAUUACUUUUACAAUAGGUUUUCUGUUUUUUACUUUUAGAUCUAUAUACUGGCUUAAGUGAUUCUUUUCAAGUAUUAUUUCCUCCAGCCUAUUUCUUCUCACUUCUAUUUUAUUUAGAGGAGCCCUUUCAUUAUUUUCUUUAGAAUGGAUUUAGUAUUGCUGUACUCUUUUAGUUUUUCUUUGUUGGAGAGAAUCUUUAUUUCUCCUUCUAUUUUAUAUGAUAUUUUUGCUGGGUAGAGUAUUCUAGGCUGCAAAGUUUUCCCUUUUAGAACUUUGAAUAUAUCUUGCCACUGUCAUCUGGCCUGUAUGUUUCUGUAGAGAAAUCAGUUGAUAGACUUAGGGGGUUGCCUUUUAAUUAGCUCUUUAUUUUUCUUUUGCAGCAUGUAGAAACUUUCUUUUAACUCUUUCCAUUUUUAUUAUAAUAUGUAUUGGUGUGGGCCUGUUUAGGGCCCUCUGUUCUUCCUGAUCUUAAUAUGUUUCCUUUAGAUUUGGAAAGUUUUCAGCCAUAAUUUCUUCAAAUACAUUUUCCAUCUCCUUUCCUUUUUCUUCUCCUUCUGGAAUCCCUAUUAUGCAUAGAUUGGCCUGCUUUAUAUUAUCCCAUAGAUCUCUUAUACUGCUUUCAUGCUUUUUCAUUUGGUUUUCUGUCUGCUGUCCUGAUUGGGUGAUUUCGAUUAUUCUAUAUUCCAAAUCACUAAUUCCUUCAUCUGCAUUAUUCAUUCUGCUCUUCAAUGCCUUUAACUCAGCUUGCAUCUCUGCAAAUGAAUUUUCUAAUUUUUCUUGGUUCCUCACAGUUUUAUUUCCUUUCUAAAGCAGUCUGCAUUACUGUUCAUAUCCACUCAAUUCCUUCAUAUUAGCUUUUAAUUCCUUCAGUAUUUUCACUAUAUCCCUUUUGAACUCAGUGUCUGUUAGACUGUAUAGAGGUCUGUUUUAUUGUUUGUUCCUUUAGUGGAAUUCUAUAUUCUUUAACUGGGAAUGGUUCCUGAACUACUUCAUUCUGCUUAUGUUUUUCUUGUGCUGUGAUUUUAGGGAAAGCAACUACUGUAGUCUUGGAGGGCUAUUCAUUCAUAGUGUGCUCCUUGGUAUUUUGUAUGGGCUUACUAUUUAUUUUUGGCAUGAGGGCUGCUUUAGAUUUGGAUGUUUGCUGUCUAUUUCCUCAGCAUGUACAGGCUGUUAUCCCCACGAUAGGGUGCUACAUGUGCUUCCAGAGAGAUGGAGGCAAUGGGCAGGGCUAGUAGGCAGUGCCUGGUUUCUGGGUCCCUGACAGUGGUAAGGACCCGUGGGAAAGUAGCGUAGGGACUCCUAGUCGCAGGGCCCUGGGAAGCGGCAGUAGCCCUCAGGUAGGUGUAGGCAGCUUCUGGAGCGUUUGGCAACUGCAGCACCAGAGCAUGUGUAUUCCCAGGGGAGUGAGAGCAACAAUGGGCGGUGCUUGGUUUUAGUGCCCUCUGAUGCUGACCUCUGAGUUUACUGGGUCCACAGGUUGUGCCUCUUCACAGACCUCUAUUGUUGGCAGGCCACAUCCACUUCUGGAGUCUGAGAUGACUGUGGUGGCUUGCCCCUGUUGCCUGUUACUAUACACAAGGUGUCCCAUCAUGCUUAGCUUAAACAAGAGGUGCCCGUUGCCCGUGAAAGAGGUGACUUGCUGCCUGUAGCCCUGCCCUCUGUGUGUCUGUGCAUAUAUAGAAAAAAAUAUUCCCGUGGUCGUCUGCCCCCAGUCCUCUUGCCCAGUCCAACAAUGGUGCCUUGCUUCUCCCAUGGGUUCAGAUCUACUGGGUUCCCUCAGCUGUGGAGCUCCACUCCCUAGUCCUUGGUACACCUCUCCCUAGGCCCCUCAGGCUGCCUCCACAUAGCCAACCCUAGUAUUCUCCCUGGAUCUGACCUCUGGAGCCCAAAUCUCAGUAGCUAGCCCCUGUCCAAGCAUCUCAGGCUGUGGUAUCUUGGGAGGUGGUACUAAUGGUCUGUGUGGCUUUCUCACUGCUUUGCCCUCCUCAGUCCAGUUGCUGUGCUUUUCUCUGAGCCUUGAGGUAUGUCCAUCUCGGAUGAUCUCCCUGUCAGUUAGGUGGAUUCCCAGGGUGUGGGUUCAUUUCUUUUAUCAUAGCUUCCUUUCAGGAGUGCUAGUCCUUUCCUGAUUCCUUUUCUCUUUUUUUACCCAUUUUUUUUCUACCCAGUUAUGUGGAGGGUUUAUUGACCUUUUUGGAGGCUUAAGGUCUUCUGCCAGUGUUCAAUAGAUGUUCUGUGUGAAUCAUUCUACAUGUAGAUGAUUUAUUUUGAUGUGUUUGUGGAGAAGUUGAGGGCCAUAUAUUAUUCCUCCACCACCUUGAUCCUGCCUCCUAGUCAGGUUUUUAACCCUCUGAGCCAUAAUAGGAAUUCCAAUGAAAAGUUCCUCACAGCUCUAUCAGGACAAUCCAGGAAGAUUUUUGAGUCAUUUGGUAAAUGGGUCAGAGGAGGACACUCAAAUAAGGCAUAUGUUAUCUCCAGAAUUUAAAGAGAAACCAUGAAUGUCUUUCCUUUUUCAGUGAUAGGAAGGUCAGAUGCAAUACCUUAUCCUUCUCCUUGGAAGGGAUAACUUGAUAUGGUACAGAUCAAUGGACUCCUAGAAAUUUCGCUGAGAAAAGAUGCCUCUAAAUUUUUGUUACUGUUAGAAAAGUAAAUUAUCAGUUACUCUUUUUAGGUUUUCUGGAAAGAUUAUAGCUUCAAGAACUAGGUUUUUCCAGAUUUGACUACUGGCUCUAUCACUCAAUAGCUGUGUGACUUUAGAAUUUCUCUCCAGACUAUGCUUUUGUUUUAUUUUUUAUUUUUUUUUCUCCUUUUAGGGCUGUACCUGCAACAUAUGGAAGUUCCCAGGCUAAGGGUGGAAUUGGAGCUGUAGCUGUGGCUUAUACAACAACCACAGCAAUGUGGGAUCCAAGGUGUAUCUACCACCUACACUGCAGCUUGUAGCAGUCCUGGAUUCUUAACCCACUAGAGAGGCCAGGGAUCAAACCUGCAUCCUCAUGGAUACUAGCUGGGUUC